rnacentral:rRNA from 1 species
AUGGACGGGAAUAACCUCGGGAAACUGAGUAUAAUGCCCGAUAGAACAUUAUGCCUGGAAUGGUUUAUGUUCCAAAUGAUUUAUCGCCGUAGGAUGGGACUGCGGCCUAUCAGUUUGUUGGUGAGGUAAUGGCCCACCAAGACUAUUACAGGUACGGGCUCUGAGAGGAGUAGCCCGGAGAUGGGUACUGAGACACGGACCCAGGCCCUAUGGGGCGCAGCAGGCGAGAAAACUUUGCAAUGUGCGAAAGCACGACAAGGUUAAUCCGAGUGGUUUCUGCUAAAGGAACCUUUUGUUAGUCCUAAAAACACUAACGAAUAAGGGGUGGGCAAGUUCUGGUGUCAGCCGCCGCGGUAAAACCAGCACCUCAAGUGGUCAGGAUGAUUAUUGGGCCUAAAGCAUCCGUAGCCUGCUCUGUAAGUUUUCGGUUAAAUCUGUAUGCUCAACAUACAGGCCGCCGGGAAUACUGCAGGGCUAGGGAGUGGGAGAGGUAGACGGUACUCGGGAGGAAGUGGUAAAAUGCUUUGAUCUCUCGAUGACCACCUGUGGCGAAGGCGGUCUACCAGAACACGUCCGACGGUGAGGGAUGAAAGCUGGGGGAGCAAACCGGAUUAGAUACCCGGGUAGUCCCAGCCGUAAACUAUGCAAACUCAGUGAUGCAUUGGCUUGUGGCCAAUGCAGUGUUGCAGGGAAGCCGUUAAGUUUGCCGCCUGGGAAGUACGUACGCAAGUAUGAAACUUAAAGGAUUGGCGGGGGAGCACCACAAGGGGUGAAGCCUGCGG